CUAUCGCUUACAGAUGGGCCCGCGGUGCAUUAGCUAGUUGGUAGGGUAAUGGCCUACCAAGGCAACGAUGCAUAGCCGACCUGAGAGGGUGAUCGGCCACACUGGGACUGAGACACGGCCCAGACUCCUACGGGAGGCAGCAGUAGGGAAUCUUCCGCAAUGGACGAAAGUCUGACGGAGCAACGCCGCGUGUAUGAAGAAGGUUUUCGGAUCGUAAAGUACUGUUGUUAGAGAAGAACAAGGAUAAGAGUAACUGCUUGUCCCUUGACGGUAUCUAACCAGAAAGCCACGGCUAACUACGUGCCAGCAGCCGCGGUAAUACGUAGGUGGCAAGCGUUGUCCGGAUUUAUUGGGCGUAAAGCGCGCGCAGGCGGUCUUUUAAGUCUGAUGUGAAAGCCCCCGGCUUAACCGGGGAGGGUCAUUGGAAACUGGAAGACUGGAGUGCAGAAGAGGAGAGUGGAAUUCCACGUGUAGCGGUGAAAUGCGUAGAUAUGUGGAGGAACACCAGUGGCGAAGGCGACUCUCUGGUCUGUAACUGACGCUGAGGCGCGAAAGCGUGGGGAGCAAACAGGAUU
rnacentral:rRNA from 1 species